UACGUACUGUGCGAACGUUAUUCGGAAUCACUGGGCUUAAAGGGUGCGUAGGCGGCCAAUUAAGUAGGGUGUGAAAGGCUUCGGCUCAACCGGAGCAUUGCGCUCUAGACUGCUUGGCUCGAGUGAGAUAGGGGUGUGCGGAACUUCCAGUGGAGCGGUGAAAUGUGUUGAUAUUGGAAGGAACGCCGGUGGCGAAAUCGGCACACUGGGUCUUAACUGACGCUGAGGCACGAAAGCCAGGGGAGCGAACGGG
rnacentral:rRNA from 1 species